UGAGGAAUAUUGGUCAAUGGGCGAGAGCCUGAACCAGCCAAGUAGCGUGCAGGAUGACGGCCCUAUGGGUUGUAAACUGCUUUUAUGUGGGGAUAAAGUGCGUGACGUGUCAUGCAUUGCAGGUACCACAUGAAUAAGGACCGGCUAAUUCCGUGCCAGCAGCCGCGGUAAUACGGAAGGUCCGGGCGUUAUCCGGAUUUAUUGGGUUUAAAGGGAGCGUAGGCUGUCUACUAAGCGUGUUGUGAAAUUUACCGGCUCAACCGGUGGCUUGCAGCGCGAACUGGUCGACUUGAGUAUGCAGGAAGUAGGCGGAAUUCAUGGUGUAGCGGUGAAAUGCUUAGAUAUCAUGACGAACUCCGAUUGCGCAGGCAGCUUACUGUAGCAUAACUGACGCUGAUGCUCGAAAGUGCGGGUAUCAAACAGG
rnacentral:rRNA from 1 species